UACGUAGGGAGCAAGCGUUGUUCGGAUUUACUGGGCGUAAAGGGCGCGUAGGCGGCGCGGUAAGUCACUUGUGAAAUCUCUGAGCUUAACUCAGAACGGCCAAGUGAUACUGCAGUGCUAGAGUGCAGAAGGGGCAAUCGGAAUUCUUGGUGUAGCGGUGAAAUGCGUAGAUAUCGAGAGGAACACCUGAGGUGAAGACGGGUUGCUAGGCUGACACUGACGCUGAGGCGCGAAAGCCAGGGGAGCAAACGGG
rnacentral:rRNA from 1 species